UUUGCGCUGCGCGGGGCUCGUGCUGCACUGGGCUCCGCCGCCUCGGCUUGGUGACGGCCCUGGCCAGAGUGAUGGCCUCCAGGGCGCAGGCACCGCUGCUUGCCCUACUCCUCACCCUUGUCCCAAGAGAGUCACAUCUUUUCCUAGUGCAAGGAAGCAGGGAGGAGGCUACACCCCUGGACGCCCGGGGCCCCAGCGAGCUCGUGCCUGUCCUGGCCUCAGUCGCCGUGCGGCGUCGCCUGCUGUUCUGUGCCUUCCUGGGGGCUGUUUAUUGCCUUGUGAAGAUGAGCUGUGUGCGCUGAGGCCUCUGGGUGCCCGGGGACCCCAACCCUGUAGUUGAAUAUAGUUUCCUGGAAUCGGACUUAGUACCGUGCGCCUGCCUCCUCAUUGGAUCUUCAGGAGUUUAUUACGGAAGGUCUGUGAGUGUACUGGUGUAGUGACUAGGUGCAGCGGUAAAUCAAGCUACUUUUUUGAACUGCUGGGAUCAAGUGUUCUCAUUUGAGGCAUGCUUUUGGAAGCUGGAUAGAAACCCCUGACAGGGAAUUUUCCUGAAGCGACCUGCUUAACUUCUGUUGUGUUGUAUUUAGGAUCCCC